AUUGAACGCUGGCGGCAGGCCUAACACAUGCAAGUCGAGCGGAGCGUCGGACGGGUGAGUGAUGCCUAGGAAUCUGCCUGGUAGUGGGGGAUAACGUCCGGAAACGUGCGCUAAUACCGCAUACUAUCAGAUGAGCCUAGGGGGGAUUAGCUAGUUGGUGGGGUAAAGGCUUACCAAGGCGACGAUGCAUAACUGGUCUGAGAGGAUGAUCGGCCACACUGGGACUGAGACACGGCCCAGACUCCUACGGGAGGCAGCAGUGGGGAAUCUUGGGCAAUGGGCGAAAGUCUGACCGAGCCAUGCCGCGUGAGUGAAGAAGGUUUUCGGAUUGUAAACCUCUGUUGUUAGAGAAGCGUUAUCUAACCAGAAAGCCCCGGCUAACUUCGUGCCAGCAGCCGCGGUAAUAC
rnacentral:rRNA from 1 species